UACGAGGGGGGCAAGCGUUGUUCGGAUUUAUUGGGCGUAAAGGGUGCGUAGGCGGUUUGGCAAGUCUUGUGUGAAAUCUAUGGGCUCAACCCAUAGCCUGCACGAGAAACUACCGGGCUUGAGUGAUGGAGAGGUGAGUGGAAUUUCCGGUGUAGCGGUGAAAUGCGUAGAUAUCGGAAGGAACACCUGUGGCGAAAGCGGCUCACUGGACAUUAACUGACGCUGAUGCACGAAAGCUAGGGGAGCAAACAGG
rnacentral:rRNA from 1 species